GUCCCCUAAUGGAGUAGAACAAUGAUGUAUUGUUGGGUGCAACAGUUACUGUGGCGCAAGUGAGAGGAAUGCUGCUGGGUGCAACAUUGCCUGUGGCACAAGGAAGAGGAAUGCUGCUGUGGAGGCGAUCAACCGUGGUGUUAGGAGGAGGUAUCCCUUCAACACCUGCUGAAGUAAUGGUGGUGGACAUUGGAAGUAGACGACAAAGGUUCAAUGUCUGGUGCAGCAUUGGUGCAUGGAGGAAGUAAUUAAUCUACCAACAAGGUGGCGGAUCUUGAAGCUGGAAACUACAUAGGAACAGUGUAGCAACGAUAUAUGUGCAUAUCCUUUGAAAUUUCAGAUCAUUGAGUUGUCACAAAAACAAGAAUGCUACAUUUGUAAGGUACCAAAUAAACUAUUACCUGGAUUAGGGAAACAUAUUUACAAUUUUCCAUCCUGGUUGUAAAUUUUGACUUUGCAAUUGUAAAAAAAGUUCUCCAUUCCUAUACUGUUGAACCACUAUAUUCCAAGUAUCUUUCACAAAUAACUGCUCAGCUUUUACUGAGGAGGAGCGGAGAUGUCUUGGUGGAGCUACAGUUGGGGAUGUUUCUGUUGGACUAUCCAGAAAUUCCAGACCUUCAGCAAUUGACCUCCACAAAUCUUGGUUUAGCAGGCAUCAGCCUGAGGACCAAUUGAGGUUAGAUAGGACCAGUGCAGGUUGAAGUGGGUUUCGAGUCAACAAAUUUAACAGCAAACGAGGUACACCAUUUACAGAGAUGAUGACAUAUACCCUGGACCCCCACAACUCCACAACUUUAAAAUUGGUUCAUCGAGUUCCGAAGAUUAAAGAACUACUGCAAAAUUUGGGACUUGGAUGAAAAACAUUAAUUCACUUAUGAGCUCAGAGCAGUGGAUGUUGUACAACAUACUUGAAAUUGAAUUGUGAAUUUAAGCGAAAACAAGUACAUGUACUCGUGCAUUACAUGUACAUUUCUUUUAAAAUACAAUAAUAUUACACAGAUGUAAAUGAAAUUUCACUGUUGAUUAUUCUUUCUUAGAUAUAUUAGUAAACAAUGUGCACAUGUUAUAAUACCAAUAUUAUAAA